GUCCCGCCUGCCCACUGAUUUUAGAUUCAACGGCCGCGGUAUUUUGACCGUGCUAAGGUAGCGUAAUCACUUGUCUUUUAAAUGAAGACCCGUAUGAAAGGCCUAACGAGGGCUUAACUGUCUCUUCUUUCUAGUCAAUGAAACUGAUUUCCCCGUGCAGACGCGGGGAUAAAAACAUAAGACGAGAAGACCCUAUGGAGCUUUAGACACUGAGGUAAACUAUUUUCAAAACCCCUAAACAAGCAAUAAAUCUAGUAGAAAUUUACCACUGUCUUAGGUUGGGGCGACCCUGGGGAAAUACAAAACCCCCAUGUGGAAAGGGGGAACCUACUACUCACACCCCUAAAAACCCGAAACACAAUUCUAAUUAACAGAAUAUCUGACCAACAAUUGAUCCGGCCUCAGGCCGAUUAACGGAACAAGUUACCCUAGGGAUAACAGCGCUAUCCCCUUUUAAAGUCCAUAUAGACAAGGGGGCUUACGACCUCGAUGUUGGAUCAGGACAUCCUAAUGGUGCAGCCGCUAUUAAGGGUUCGUUUGUUCAACGAUUAAAGUCCUACGUGAUCU
rnacentral:rRNA from 1 species